rnacentral:lncRNA from 1 species
CGUAGAUUGAUUCGAAUCAGGCAGAUCUUUUUUCGGUCUAGUCUGAGUGACAAACCCUGGUUGUUGAGGCACUGGUAAAAUCACAUUGUUACUUAUGAGCAUCAUCAAAAUGGUUGAAAAGGUGGGACGCUCUAUAGGAUCUUCUUGAACACAUAAAAGACCGAUAUGGAUGCAUCGAACCACUUCCCUCAUUUGGCAAUUAUCUACUAUAACUGGAUCCACAAGAUCUAACUCUGAUUUAUUAGUCCACAGUCUCCAAGCCUAUAAUAUCAGUCAACCAAUUAAUUGUUGCAAUCGUUGCUUAUAGUAAGAGAGGUGUAUAUAAAAGUAUGUUAAACUAAAAUAGUAUAUAGAAAAACUGGUUGCCUCAACUUACAUAUGUGACCAAGUUAUGUGCACCGUCUCUCUCGUAGAAGCUGCUAUUCUUCCUACCAGUUAUAAUCUCAAGAACUAACACUCCAAAGCUAUAGACAUCGGAUUUCAUUGAGAAUUGGCCAUGUAUAACAUAUUCGGGAGACAUGUAACCGCUGAAAUCCUCACCAAAAUUUAGUAUAUUGACAAAAUCAUGUUCUACAAACAUCAACUUAAAUAAGAGAAGUAAAAUGUAUGAUGACUUACUAGGUACCGACAAUUCUGUUUGUGUUCUCCUGAGUUUGGUCCAUUCCAAAGAUCCUUGCCAUUCCAAAACCAGCGAUUUUUGGAUUCAUAUCUGCGUCCAGGAGGAUGUUGCUUGCUUUGAGGUCACGGUGAAUGAUUGUGAGCCGUGAAUCUUGAUGAAGAUAUAGCAUCCCUCGAGCAAUCCCUUCAAUGAUCUUGUAUCGCCGUGUCCAGGAUAGCUGACCCUUCUUUGUAGGGUCUAUGUUUGUACAUUCAUAGUAAAUUUAAACAUUGGUACCCCCAAUUUUUUUAAAAAGUCCAAAGAUUCACCGAAAGAAAGCAAUAAAUGCUACUGACCAAAGAGGAAGUAAUCAAGGCUUUUGUUGGGCACAUAUUCGUAGACCAAUAUCCUUUCUUCUCGUUCUAGAGAAAACCCCAUAAGCCUUACCAAAUUUCUGUGCUGAAGCUUUGCAACAACAACAACCUCGUUUUUGAACUCUGUUUCUCCUUGGCCUGAUGAUUUUGACAGUCUCUUCACCGCAACUUCAGUCCCAUUCAAAAAUGUACCCUAUCCAUUUAUAUGAGCAUCAUUCAAAUUAUUUAAAUAGGUUGGCACAAAAUUUCAGAGAAAAAUAUACAGCGUCAGGUUCGUGCAGUUAAUGAUGUAUACUAGUGAUGGUAUCCAGAGCGGUGCCUUAUAACAUCUCUAAAAAUACAUUCUAUCUUGAAGUUUUUAAACUCUAUAUUUGAAGUCUAAAGGUGAUUUUUCCAAAAACAAAACUUCAAACUUAAUUUCAAAACUAUUUGUAUUUUAUAUUAUGGUCCUUAUAUUUUUCAUAACUAAUUUAAAUUCAUAAAACUUUUAUUAGCACAUAUAUAAAUUAUUACAACAAUAUUAAUUAGUAAAAUAUUGUAUUAAAAUAUAAAAAUUUCAACAGAAAUAACAUAAUUAAUAUUAAAUUUCAAGAAAAACAUCAUAAGAUUCCAUAAAAUUAUUUUCGUUAUGCAUAUAUGAUCAUCUAGUGCAUUUCGAAGUUAAAAUGACUCUUUUUAUUUUUAAUUUGUAGAUUAUGAGCUAAAAAAUGUUAAAAUCGGGUGAUAUUAAUACUUGUAAUUACAUUAGAUCUGGAAAAAAAAAAGUAAAAGAGGAAAAGAAAAUAUUGUUAAAAGACUUAACUUCUAUCGGUGAUAUUAAUAUUUGUGAAUACAUUCGAUCUAAAGAAGAAAGAAUUGUGCGAAAAGAAAUUAAAAACAACAACUAUCUUCGGUUACAUAAAAAAAUUGGACAGUAUUUUGCAGAUUGUGGAGGUUCUUGAUCAAAUUUAUGUGACUAUUAGUGUUGUUGAUAUUUAAAUUUGUGUAAUAGUUAUGUCUUCAUGUAAUUUUUAAAAGUUUUUUUGUUUAGUUUUUUUAUAUUGUUGUUGUCUUGUUUAAAUCUUAAUUUAAAAUUUUACUUAAUUUUAUGUGUAAAAAUUAAAUUUAUAAACAAAAAUAAAAUAUUUAUGAUUUAUAAUUUUUUAAGGAUUAAAAUGAUAACGAGAAAAUAAUUAAGAAUCAUAAAUGUGAUAUGCAAUUAUAGGGGCCAAAAUACAAACAAAAAUAUGAAACUUCAAAUUUGAAGUUUUGAGUUGUGAAACUUCAAAUAUAAAGUUUGUCUUCUCAAACUUCAAAUUUGAAAUUUUUUUAAGAGCAAAAAAUUCCAUAUUUGAAGUUAUAGACUGUUUUUUUGAGAUGCUCUUAGACAUAGAAGAAGAGGCGUAUUUAACUCUAUAAUUUAAUAAAUUAGUUAUAUUAUAUGGAAAUAAUUUGUACAAAAAAUCAUUUAAAGAAUCUAUUUCAGUUACAAAUUCAUCUAUUAUCCUAAAUUUAUGUAUUUAACUGUUUUUUUUUGUUUUUUGUGAUUUUAUUCAAAUAUAUUCAUUUUUAAAUCACUUUAUAUAAUAACAUUUUCUACAUUUACUGUAUGAAUUAAUAAAUAUAGUUUUAUUUAUCAUAUUUAUAGAUAUAUUUAAUUAUUAUAUUUCAUAUUAUUUUAUUUUCAAGAUAUAAUAUAUUUUUAUCACUAUAGAAAUUAUAUUUUUGAUAAAUAUUCAUAUUUUGUCAAAUUGCUUUAAAAUCACAAUUUAUAUAACAAAACUUAAAUAAAAAUAAAAAUAAAAAUAAAAAUAAUCCAGUAUUAAUUUAGGCCCCUAAAAUCCUGGUUACAUCACCGAUUAUACCUUGUAAACCUCGCCAAAUCCUCCUUGCCCAAUCUUAUUAUUCUCUGAAUAAUCAUUUGUUGCAGUUUGAAUUGUUCUAUAGUCAAGUUGUAGCGAGUCUACUGUUGUUAUAUCAUCUCCUGAUGCACAAUAAAAAUAGUAGUAAUCAGUAAGGAAAAAAAUAGACUGAUCAAUGACGGUAAUCACUAAUCAAACUCAAUUAAGAUUUUUAAUCAUUCAAAUGUUAACCAUAAAAGGUUGGUGCAUUAUCAGAAGUCUUCUUUUUCCUCUUUGCAAGGAAACAAUAACCAGCUAUGGAAAGUAGCAAAGCCAUUAUAAUAGCCACAAGGAUGGCUAUGGCUAACACAUUUGAGUUCCCAUGUUUCCCUGCGUCUAGAAGACCAUUUGUUUAAUAUCAAAUCAAUUACAAGGAGAAAAUAAGUAAUUGCAUUAGAUUAUUUCAAGAAAUAAGGGCAAAAGAAACAAAGUAAGAAGAAAGACUUAACUAGGUCGUGGAGUGGUAGAAGAAGCUAGGGGUGGUGGAGGCAGGAUAGUUGUAUUAACUUCGGUUUCGUUGUAGAACUUGUAAAGCUCGUACCUUGAAUUACAGCUAGGAGAAAGAAGUCUUGAUCCAAUACUUUCAAAAUUCAAACCGUUUAUGGAUUGUAGCAGACAGAACAAACAGUCAUCUCUUGUCAGAUCAGGAGUGCACUGAACCAGGACGAACAAAUCCUUGAAGUCGAUCCACUUGGCCUUUCUCGUACAGAAAUAUCGAGAACUAUUCGCCGCUUCAAAGGCAGCUUCCAUCAUCGAGGUCGACGCCAGUUUUUUGAACAGGUCUACAUCCUUAGGUGCAGUUUUGUAAUCGUUAUACAUCAAAAAAGCGUCAGCGACUGUGAGGUUCGAGGAAACAUCCUGGUCAGAGUAUCUGAGCAUGCACUCGUCGUAAUAGAUAGUGGCCUCUCUCUGAUUCGGGCACUUGGCUUCGAUAUCUUUGACGGAAAGGGAGACGCAGCCGCGACAAACUUUCGGCGAGACGUCUCCCCGGCAGAGGAAAAGUCCGGUGACCGUAUCCGGGGCUUGUCCGGCAGUGGCGUUUUGGAAUCCGGUGGAGUAUGAGGCGUUGGCGGAAGAGAGAGAGGACCAAAGUGUUUUGAGAUUGGUGGAGUAAAUGCUGUUCGGUGAAUACCUUGUCGUAUUCCGACAAAGAUGGUGUACGAAGUAGGGACUUUCAGCAGUAGCUGGGAAGAUAGUAGUGAGGAAGGAGAAAAGGAAAAGGAAGAUGCAAGAGGCAAGAGAAGACAUGGUUCGGUUUCCCCGAUAUGAGGUUCAGGCUACGAAGGUCCCAUUUAUAAAGUGAACCCUCUCUUGGUCUGUGACGACCAAAAGUCAAUGAAAGUAAAAGAAAAGUAAACGCCUUUUUAAUAAGUUAAAAACUUAAAACAAUGAAAAUAAUAGUUUAGGAUACUGUUUCUGCUAAUGCUAAUGCUCUGCCAAUCAGGGCCAAAGUGGAAAAGGCCAUGCUGUAUUAUUAACAUAAUUUUGAAUAAAUUUUCAUGUUGGGCCAAUAAUCAAAAUUAUUUACUAAGCCGAAACCGAAAAGUUAACAUCAAGUGUCCUUGGCUAAUCUCACUAGAGCUUAGUUGAGUUGAUUCAAACACUUCAUCUAAUCAUGUCUGAUGAGAAGUGUUUAGAAAUCAGGUUUAGAGUGAUCAAGACUAAACAAGCAUUAAAAAUACUCAACAAGCAAGUUCAUACAAGGAUCUAAUACAAUAACACCAUAGAUCUUCACUAAGUUACUCUAAUCUCCCUAACCCAUGAAUUCUUAAGGAAACUACUCACUAAUCUCCAUGAAAACACUUAAUCUCAUAAUAGAUUGAAGCAUAUUCAAGUAGAUACAACAGAGAAUAAAGAUAAACAAGGAUUAAACAAGCAAAUUCAAGAGAAUAAGAAGAAAAGAAACUAAAGAUUCAAGCUUUCUCUCUCAAGAGUUCUUGUGUUCUUCAUAAAAAAGUAGAUAGAUCCCCAAUUAUUGUCUGAAAAGUAGUUAUAUAUUACUAAAACUCGAGCUGGGGUUGACCCAUAAAAACAGAUAUUUUUCUCCGUAGUGACCAUAAAAGGUCGCUACAAGAGGUCACUACGCCUGUAGCGACCUGAAAUGCCCGCUACGGGUGGCCGCUAGGACACUUAGACGAUUUUUUCGCAUUCUUGAACUCAUAGCGACCUCAUUAUGCCGCUACGGAAGACCGCUACAGAAAGCGCUUCAACUAUAGCGGUCUCUCUAACCCGCUACACACUCCCGCUACGGUACUUAGGCGCCUCAGCUCUAUCUUCUGUAGCGACCAUCUUUUGCCGCUACGCCUGGCCGCUAGGAAUGUCAUAUUGAUAUGUGUGUAGUAUUUUGAUCAUAAAUCCCUCAAUACAGCUCCAAACGACUUGAAACCACCUCCAUUGUAAAGCUAACUCAAUUUCCAGUGUCUCCACAAAUUUUGAGCUUCAGAAGAGAUCUUUAAGGCCUUCAUCCGUGUUCAUCUUUCACUCUUUGGACUCAAAAUCCCUCCAAUGGUCUUCUAACUCAUCCAUGGUGCUCUCCAACACCUGAUAUGUACAAAUGCAAUGAUAUGCAACCUAAAUGUGCCUAAAUGAUACUCUAGAUGACCAAACCAUGCAAGAAUAAGAAGUUAAAAACACGUAAAUUCACAAGAUAUCAUUUUCACGUGAAUCAAAUGCUAAAGGUUUAUUCCUGAAGGUGAUAAGAUUUUUUAUUCAUUAUUAGAUGCGAGUGUGAAUUGUGCUUAUUCGCCACUCAACCAAAUUUAAAAUACGAGAGAAAUCACAUAAAUGUUGAUUUUGUAAAACAUAAACGUUGAUUUGUAAAACUAUAAUAAAACCAAAUCAAAACGAAACUACUACGUACCGAAUUAAAGGUCGCUGAAACAAGUUUUGAACUUUUUAUCAACCAAAAACAACACGUGUUUUCAAUAAUUACCAAUUAUUCAAGCGUGAAGGUUAACACCAUAAUCAACGAGGAUAUAAAUCAGUGACCAGACGCAUCACCAACAGACCAUAUACCAGACUUGGCCAUCGUAGAUUGAUUCGAAUCAGGCAGAUCUUUUUUCGGUCUAGUCUGAGUGACAAACCCUGGUUGUUGAGGCACUGGUAAAAUCACAUUGUUACUUAUGAGCAUCAUCAAAAUGGUUGAAAAGGUGGGACGCUCUAUAGGAUCUUCUUGAACACAUAAAAGACCGAUAUGGAUGCAUCGAACCACUUCCCUCAUUUGGCAAUUAUCUACUAUAACUG